NNNNNNNNNNNNNNNNNNNNNNNNNNNNNNNNNNNNNNNNNNNNNNNNNNNNNNNCACACACCCAGGCACUCUCACACCUGUACCCCUGUGCAUGCACAGCCCCACACACACACCCYRCMCACACCUGGGCACACUCACACCCACACCCCUGUGCACGUUCAGCCCCCCCACACACACAACCCACACAACCACACCCCUGCACACACACAGUUCCACACACACACAGUCCCACACACACCCGGGCAUGCUCACACCCACACCCCUGCACAUGCACAGCCCUGCACACACAUGGGCACACUCACACCCACGCCCCUGCGAACGCACAGCCCCCCACACUAACACCCCCACACACCUGGGCACACUCACACCUGCACCCCCACAACCCCGCACAUCUGCACAUCCUGCAGACAUGAGCACGCUCACACCCGCASCCCUGUACAUUCACACCCUGCACAUGUACACCCCACACACACCCGGGCAUGCUCACACCUGCACCCCUGCACAUGCACACCUGGGCACACUCAUACCCCACGCAUACCUGGGCACAUUCACACCCGCAUGUACACACACACAGCCCUACACACUCACACGCCGCACACACCUGGGCACGCUCACACCCACCCCUGCACACUCAUGGCCUGCACGGUAACACCCCGUGCACACCUGGGCACGCUCACACCUGCUGCUGCACAUGCACAACCCUGCACACUCACACCUGCACACACCUGGGCACGCUCACACCCCUGCACACACACAGCCCUGCACACUCACACCCUGCACACACCUGGGCACGCUCACACCCACACCCCUGCACACACACAGCCCUGCACACUCACACCCUGCACACACCUGGGCACGCUCACACCUGCACAUGUACACACACAGCCCUGCACACUCACACUCUGCACACACCUGGGCAUGCUCGCACUCACACCUGCACACACACAGCCCUGCACACUCACACCCUGCACACACCUGGGCAUGCUCACACCCACACCCCUGCGCACGCACAGCCCCAUGCACGCACACCUCGCACACACCUGGGCAGGCUCACACCCACAUCUGCACAUGCACACCUGCACACUCACACCCUGCACACACCUGGGCACACUCACAUCUGCAUUUGCACACGCACGGGCCCACGCACUCACACCCCCCACACACCUGGGCACACUCACACCCACACCUGCACACACCUGGGCACGCUCACACCCUGCACACACCUGGGCACACUCACACCCACACCUGCACACACCUGGGCAUGCUCACAGCUACGCAGGGCUAGGCACACUCACACCCGCCCCUGCACACAGCUAGACACACGCACACCUGCACCCAGCGGGGCACACCCCCACCCCUGCAGACAGCCAGGCACACUCACACUCACACCCCCACCCUGCACACCGCUGGCACCCCCCCCGCCCUGCACGAGGCUGCACUCACACUCACACUCCCCCGUGCACGCACACGGCUGCGCACCCCACACGCACUGCUGCCGCCGGCCCAGGCCCACAUCUGCACGCACACACCCUGCUCACACCCCUGCCUACACACAUCCCUGCCCACACACCCCCUGCUCACACCCGCACCUACACACACCCCUGCCCACACACCCCCUGCUCACACACACCCCUGGCCACACACACACCCACCCUCAUAGCUCUGCCCGUGCACCCCCUGCUCACACCCUGCCCGCACACCCUG
ensembl:lncRNA